CCAUCCCAUCCCAAUCCCAUCCCAUCCCAUCCCUCUUACAGCGUUUUCUCUGCUUGUGCUAAAGAGAAUUUGUGUUCCCUCAUUUUUAUUUGGAUCAAAUCUCAUUCAUUGCCUACUAUAGCUCACUUAUGCCCUUUCCUUUUGGGAAGGAAUUUUGGUGACAGAAGGAAUUUUGGACAUUUGCUGGGGCUUUGCUUUUUAACUCCUUGACAGGAAGUUUGAGGCAGGUGAGGAUCAAUCUCUUCUCCCACGUAACAAGUGAUAGGACAAGAGGAAAUGGCCUCAAGUUGCUCCAGGGGAGGUUUAGGUUGGGUAUUAGGGAAAAUCUCUUUACCUAAAGGGUUAUCCAGUCCUGGAACAGCUGCCCAGGGCAGUGGUGGGGAUCCCAUCCCUGGAAGAUUUAAAAGACACUAAAUGUGGCACCUGGGGUUUAGUGGUGGUGUGGUAGUGCUGGGUGAUCUUAGAGGGCUUUUCCAACCUAAAUGAUUGCAUUCCCUGUGUGUCUCCCUCGGGGCUCAGGGUGGGAGCAGGGUGCCCCUGCUGCAGGGGGCUCAGAAAUGCCAUGUGCUGGUGCCAGAUGUCCCCACCACGUCCCCUCCCUGCCAUCCAUCGGGCUCUGUCACGUCUGGGGGCUCUCGCCACGGUCCCGCCUUGCUCUAAGUGCAAAGGAAGGGAGAAAAAUCAAUUCCCAUCAGCUGAACAGUGCCCUUUGAUUUAUUGCCAGUGGAGAAAGAAAUUCUUUAUCUCCUCCUGGAAGGGAUUGCUUUGGUGUUUGUUAUUAGGGAGCGUUGCUGGAACAUCCCCCUUCCUCCAAAGCCUGGUAUUUUGAUAACCUUUGCCAGCUCGAGGACAUCUGGACCACAGAAAUGGUCUCCCAAAGUGCAGUGAAAGGGGGCAGGUGUUAACCUGCUCUGCUGGGGUGGUCAGGGCUUUGGCACACGAUGAAAUUAUGUGUAUUCCUUAGAUUUCAGUCUGCUCUUGCACCUGUCUGGGGUUAUUUGGUGUGGCUUUUUGUACUGCAGAUUGAAAAGAGCAUCCCUGUGCAGGGCAGAGGGGUUGCCUUGGUCCUCCUCACCUUCCAGCACCAGUCACCUCUCCCAUCUGUGGGAGUUGUGCUGCUGCAGAGAAUAGAUGGAAACACUCUGAUCUACACCCUUGAAAGUUCCCCAUAUCCUUCAUCUUCCAGCUGAGCUCCAGAGCAGAAGCACGAGAUGGGCACCCCAGAAAUCAGAAUGACUGCAGGGCGGUGUUUUAAUUAUCUGUAAUUGCUAAAGCAGGUUAGUGGCCAAAUGAACAAGUGCAGGUGCACAGCUGGCCUGAUGUGCUGGCAGCGACUGGGAGCUGAUAUCCUGACAGUGUGCUCAGUGCUGGUUUUGUGUUUCUGCCAAAAAAAACUCCUGGCUUUUUUGAGGUUGUUUCAGGUCUCAGUUCAAGACCAGCAGUGGGGGGAGAUGGGUGGCCAUGGCUUGGUCUCAAUGGAAAAUUGAAUUUUCUGUGCUGAAGUUGCUCCAAUCAACCCCUUUCCUACAGGGUGACUGAUUUGCAGGUGGUUUUGUACAUGGGUGAUACCAGGACUGUGUGAUUCAGGGGAGAUGGAGAGAAUUCAGACCACCUCAAUCCCACUUAGUGUCAAAACCAGCUUGUCUCCCCUUUUAGUUACUCUGAUAACAUUUAUUUGUGAGGCUUCCUAGGACAUCAAGGUUUUACAUCAUCCACAAUCCCUCAGUUUAAUUCCCUCUUUAAAGCAGUGAUCAUGAGUCUUAAAAUGGAAAAAAAAAGCCAGCAGCCUGAUAGAAGGGAGUUGUUUCCAGCCUCAGGCAAUGCAGCCUCAGGCACCAAGUUCUCCUGGAGGGGAACCACCUGGGGUUGUUGUGCCACACCAGCAGUUCUGGGUUUUGGGGGCAAAUCCCAAUUUCUUGGAGAAGCAGCUCGGUGCAAAUGAACUUCAGGGCUUUGUGAACAGAGAGAAUUUUGUUAUAAGGCACCUGUGGGUUGGUUUUGCAUAGCUGGAGGUGAUAUCGACCCUGUCUGGGCUUAGAUGAAGCUUCUGAUUUCCAGAAACUGCUUUGAAUACCUUCCCUGGGGUCUUUCCUGGUUGUUUGUUAGCAGGUAAUGAGGAAAGUGGGAACAUUGGAAGGGAAGGGUGAGUUUUGGGAGACCUGGCUGGCAGAGGAUGCUGCCCAAAGCUAUGGAAGUGGGCAGGGCUGCUUGAGUGCUCCCCUGUCCCUGGGCUCUCCUCUGUAAUUGAUGGCCAGAGGUCAGCUCAAGGUAGGUUUGUGACAAAAUCUCAAUGUUUUAUGAGCUAGGCAUUUGAGAUUUUUAAUAGAGUUGCCAGUGAAGAUAAAUGGAACACGAGGUUGGUGACCCCAGGGGGCUGGACCAUCACUCUGGGUUGUGGUGGUGAAUAAACCUCAGAAAUCCAGGGCUGCUGUUAGUUUGGGCUGGAUUUCUGUUUUAGGGUGAAGGUAGCUCAAUUAGAACUAUUGCAGCUGAUUUAAUCCAGAUUUCUUAUGUGGGAUUUCAUGUGAUUUUUGUUCUUGAGGACUUUGUAUUGUGAUCUCUGUUGUUCCAGUGAUGCUUUCAUUCCCUGUGUGUGAAACGUGCCGAACCCUGUUGUGGUAACCAUAGAGAAAACCCCAAAAAAGGAUUUUACAAUGUAAGGCAAUUACUGAGCUGAACAGCGUUCCCUAAGAAGAUUAUAAUUCUGCAUCCAGUGUGGACCAAGGGCAUCCCAAUCGGGCUGCAGCAGCUCUCUGGUGUAUUGGAAUCCAACCAGGUCGUUAGUGGUGUUGCAGCAUUAAUUACUAUGAAAGCAAAAGGUUAAUUUGAAGUUUUGUGGGUUGCAGAAGGUACUGGGGAGAGCGAAGCCUUUAAUUUUGUGUCACUGUAUAGAUGAAAUAGGAAAAUGUAUUUUUGCAGGAAUGGUUGGUGGAAAUGGUUGGACGUGCUGGGUGCAAGGAGAUGCAGGGUCUGUGAACCCCACUGCUUUCUGGAAGAUAAAAUAAAAACAAAACUCUGUA